GGAGGCCUGUAGCUCAGUGCCAGGGUGUCUGCCUUGCAUGCUGAAGGUCACAGGUUUAAUCCCUGGCAUCUCCA